UUCUGUUGUUCUUUCUCUCACAGUUGCAAGAUUAUUGCCACAAAUCCAGACACAUCUGUAUUCAAAGGAAGAAGCAGAGAAGAUUGGGCUAUGGUGGAUGCAGAGAGAAAGACGGAAUUGGAUAUGGAAUGGCAGAAGCUAUGACAAACUGCAAGAGUGCCUGGCUGUCACUGUUUAAAAAAUUAUAAUGUUUCUCAAAGAAAUUCCAAAGAACAUAGAAAGGAGACCACAGGAAGAAUCCAGAACUGCUGCCCAUCAUAAAAUUUUUCCAUCUGCAAUUUGUGUCUACAGUGUGCCAGUUAUUGAUGAGGGUGAGGCUGAAG
rnacentral:lncRNA from 1 species